UUUAUGAUUACUAUCCUGUUCGUUAUUGCCUAAGCUCAGUUUGAUUGAAAAGUAAGAGACAGAAAAGGUAGGCAGGCUAGAUAGAAGGGCACAAAAAUGGAGUGGUAUUGCGAUAAAUACCUUUAGAUUCUUGCAGGAGCACAAAGAAAUGAAUUAUAUUACAAAGAAUAUUGUGUUUCCCAUGUAUACUGUGGGUAAGCUCCUACUUUGUUUCCAAAUCUAUUUAUAGUUCCAAGAUUAUUUGAAAUCUUGAUGAAAUCGUUUAGUACCCAUGGUUACCAAGCACACUGCAUGAACUAACACAAAUCUAGUGCUGUGAUAUAUCAUCAGUUCUGUCCUUUUCUAGCAGUUAUUUUCUGGUACAAAUCCUCACAGGUAUAGACAGUAAAACUGAUGUUUAUUUCUCAUCUUUGUAGUAAGUUGUAUUUAACAUUAUUGCUUCUGCCUCGCUUUACCUUCCACAAGGUAUCAUGGCACUUGGGAAACAUAAAUAGUCUUGGUCUGCAUUAUGUACCUCUGAAAACCGUCAAUCUUGAGGACAUACUGUUUCUGAGUGGAUGAGAAACAGUUACUUGCUGAAUAUUUAUAGAGAUCAAACAGUGGAUGUGAGCACAGUGAGGUGGUGGGUGGUGCAUUUCAGCAGUGGUGACAACAACACGAAAGACUAGCUACAUUCCAAAAGGCCAUGCGGGUUUUUAUGAGUGGCACGCAGGCCCUUGUUCAUCACUGGUAAAAAUGCACAGCUGACGGUGGUGGCUGUGUUGAAAAAGUAUUUUGUAGCUGAGAAUUUUCACUCUGUAGUAGUGCAAUUAUGCUUUUUGCAUCUGUUGUAGUUGCCAUGGAAAUAAAUAGGAGGCGUUACUUUUGGAGCGACCAAUGCAAUAUUUAUGAAGGCUGUUAGAUUUAUUUGCUCCUACCAAUUUUCAUCUAACAAUCCUUUCAUGAGUGCUACAUAUUAAUUAAAUCAGCUAGUAAAAGCCAACAUGACAGCCAUAUGCAUGGUAAUUAGCAGGUACAGCCUGAUUGCCACCAGAAGUAGUAAUGUUUCAGUACUAAUGGGCCAUUACGGUGAGUGGGUUAUGGUUUCAGCAUUUCUUCUCUGUAAUAAUGUUGUCCUGGGCGUCAGCUUUUCCUGCUGACAACAGCUCGAAGUAGAACCACAGCUAAAAACAGGUAAUCCUCCUCAUCCAAAUGUGCUUGCUAAUGAAAAGCUUUUGGGGGAGAGAAGAAUUUGGAAUAGCGUUAAUAUUUCAGACGUAUGUUUAAGUCAUCUAAGGCUUGUAUUGUUUUCCACUCUAAUCACGCUACUUCUUUUUAAACAAGAGCUUACAGAAAUCCAUUCAAUUCACAGGAGAGCUCUGAAAUUGUAAUGCUUAUGUUCCUAUAAAACAUUUGUUACAUUAUUGCAAUUCAUCUCCCCAUGUUAUACAGGAAACACAGCAAAUGAAAACGUUUCUGAAAUGCCUAUUGCUCAUGCUUGAUUUCUGGAGGGGGAAGAAGAAAAAAUAAAUUGCUCACGCAGAACAGAGACUCUCCUUUAAUUUUCUUGUUCUCUCCUAAGCAGCGCACAGAGACUGCUCAGCUGUGAGGCUUAACAGAUGUGGCAGAACUGAAGCAUGGAAAGUCUGUCCACAGGAGAAACGUAUCAGCUAUCUUGAGACAUCAGAUGCCAACAGCUAUGAACCUCACUCCUCUUCUGAUACCUGCCUUGGGAAAAGCAUGUGAAAGCAGACUGAAGUUUUUAAGUGACCAUGGAUGAGGAAGCCCUACAGUACCGGUGUGCUACUCCUUUUCCCAGAGAUCUGCCAUUUUUCUGCACCGGCAGGAGAGUCUGUGGCCUUUGGAAAUGAAUCACCUUUAAAAAGGAAUGAUGACCAGGAUGACCUGAAGCAGGUGAAGAGGCAGUCAGCCCGCUCACUUUUUCCUUCUGUGCAGUGUCAUCACAAAACUCUUCACUGUUUUUUCAUCUGCUGUGACCACACAGUUAAGAAAGGCUCGUCAGCCCUCGCCAAGCCCAUCACCUAACACUCGAGGAAUAGAGGCUUCCAAGCAUUUUGGACACCUGCCCCAUUUCUGAAGACCCCAUUUUGAAGGGACAGUUGAGACGCCUAACUAUGAGGAAGGAGGAAUACAUCUGGGAGUACAUAUGUGCCAAGGCUCUGGCAGGGAGAUGAAGCCUACAUUUGCCACGUUUGGUUUCCAAAAUAAAAUGACAUAGUCCUGUCAUGGUGUGCGUGAAAAAUUUUUAAGACAGCUGACUAAAAGGCAUGUGAAAUGUGAAUUUCCCAAUUGCUUAUUGUCGCUAAAAAGCACAGUGUGGCAUAUCAAUCCAGACUGUGCUGAUGUGCUACGCUACACUGCAAUACCUCUUAAUAUGAGAUAUUCAUUUCUGAAGUGUGCAAGGUGACACAGCAGUGGUCAGUGGAAAUGCUUCGGCAGAUGAAAAAGAUCAGCUUCUGAGACAUGGCUGGAACUGCUGUUAAUCGUGGACCUGUGGGUCCUGGUGAAGCCAUCAUCAUCCCUACCCUUGUGGUGGACCUUUGGAGCCUGAAUGGACCAAGAGUGAUAUAAACUUGCAGUAAUGACUCUUGAGCAGAAAGCAAUCAAGUGAUAACAGCCGGGCAGAGGUGAGCAUGAAUGCACUGUCCAAGAACUUGCAAGUCAGACUCCUUCUGUAGAUCUGAUGCAUGCAUCCAUCUUUGGCUGAGCAUAGAUCAGUGCCUGUGCCACUCUCUGUGGAAGGUGUGAAAUUCAAAGCUAUGCAGCUCUUCAAAGCUUUCACAUGAAUUUCUGAAGAGUUUAUGCAGAAAUGUGCUCUGCUGUUUCUCUCUGUACUUUGCUUAGUGCUAUAAUGGCUGUCUUGUAUUCAAAUGUGAUUUUCUGGUGCAAUUUUCCUCUCUUAGUGAAAAGCUAAGCCAUUCCUUAACAUGACUAGCAAAAAUAAAAAUAAAAAAUCCCUGUGUGGUAGAAUACUGCUGCCUGUUAAUAUUAUUAACAUGUUAAUAUUAUUAAUAUGCCCUGGAUCCAUAGCAAAGAGUUAGAAUUUCAGUUAAUUUCAGUUAAUUUCUGUGGUUCCUGGCAGUUCUUUCACAACUUGAGCUGAGGGAAAAGUCAAACUGUGGGGGGCUCUCAGCCCUUUUCCCUGGCCUUGAGAAAAACGGCUCAUGGAUUGCUUUCCAUGGAUCAGCGGCCAUGAUGCUCUGCUAGGAGACUUUGUUUCCAAGACAACUGUUGCCAAGAAAGACUGGUUUUCCUUGGGAACAAUUGCUUUGUUAUUUCUGUACAGCAAACCUUCUGUAUCCACUGUUAGAACUGUGAGAGAAGCUCUUGGGGCUCCAAAUCCUGGUGGAAAUGGAGAAACACGAAGGCAAAGUCAUUCUAAUCACCAAGAGGGGGUUUGCAGUCUUACAUGGACUGCACAAAGUUCACGAUCUCUCAGGACAUGUAUGCACUCUGCAAAUACAGGCCCUGAAAUAGCACUUGUGAGCCUCUUCGGGACAUGCUUUCAAACGAAUUCCAAAGCUUAAGGUUCUCUUCAACAACUCUUAGUUGGGAAUAGAUGAGGUCUUUAGGGAUAUUCUGUAUCUGUAUUCUGUAUACAUCUGUAUAAAAAUCUUACAAUUUAGUACAGAGGCUGUGAUUAGCAACUUGUGCAUGCUGAAAGCAGCAGAUUCCCCCACCUCACACUAAUGUGAAAAUCUCGUGCUUUUUAGAGUAAUGCUUUUGAGACAUGCUCUCGAAGGAUCAUUCUGUUUCCAUUAACAUUUCUUUUGAUUUUUCAAUCAUCUGAAAGAUAGGCUUUGCUUCACUUUAUUAAAGGUAUAGUCUUAAUAUGUGUCAAGUCAAUAAUCCCUUUUGUUACGGAGGUUUCUAAAGUUUGUGAUAAAUAUCUUUACUAGCUUCUACCAUUAGCUUCCCAUUUUUUGCAUUGAAUAAUUCUAUUUCAAUUGGAAAGUUUCUUUGAUUAUGUCAUAAUAUUAGGUCAUAUUCAACUCAGUGGAUUUAAUGUAGUUAAAUGAAUAAGCUAUUCUCCUGGUAAGUACAUACACUUACUGACCACCUAGCAUCCACCAGAGGUCACUUCCUGGCCACAUAAUCCAUUACCAACUGUGCUUUCAGUUCAGCUGUUAGCUUCUUUUGUUUUGUCCUCAAAAACCUGCUAAUUACUUUGAAUCCUUUCCAGAAUCAUUAAGACACAGAAAAAGAUCCUGAUGAAACAUGAAAAAUAUAGGGAUUUGAUUGAUGCCACAACCUGAGUGGCUAACCAUCCUAUGCUUUGCACGAUAUUAAGGAUAUAUUAUUAAAGACAUUAAAAUAUAUUAUGUGUAGAUAUUAAAGAAUUUUAAGUACAACCUGACUCUACCGUGUCAUCUUAUCUGGAUUCUCAUCGGCUCAAUCGUCACAAAAUCUUUCUCAAUAUGCACUUAAAUUGAAAAGCAAAAUGUAUUUACAGCUUCUGAAACAUCAGCAGCAUUUGAGCCUCUCUUAUUGUUUAUUGGAGAGGCCUGUGUUUGACAAUUUUUUCUUGCAAUAUGAAGAAAGCCCUCUAGAAUUCUUUACUGACAAGUCAAUUAAAAGACACGAACAACUCAUCCUAUUUUGGAAAAGGUGCCAUUCUACAUCUUUUGUAGCUGAAGUGAAAAUCUGGAAAUCAGAAGUGAUGUUUCAUGAGAUGUUAUUUUCCUCCAGCAUCUCAUGUUCUUAAAGCUUACAUGUCUUUUAACUCAACCUACUCAUUUUCAAGGAGAUGGAGGAACUUGUUAUAUGUGUUUGUGGCAGUCUGUUCCCUAAAAUGAGGAAACUUUGUGAAUUGUGAACUUUGUUCGAAAUCUCAAGCAAACCCAAACUUCUCAGUUAAGAAAAUGGAGGGGUUUUUUUUGUUGUUUUGUUUUUGGUUUUUUUUUGUCUGGUCUGCUUCAGAUCCAUCUCACUCUCUUAUAUCUCCUACAUCAGUCUCAGUUUCACAAACUCCAAACCAUAGAUCAGUAUCUCUUUUGAGACUAUAAUAAGAAUCAGGAAUAUUUUUCGUUUAUCAGUGUAGUUCCAGACUAAAGUGCAGUCAUUUAAAGUUUAAGAGAGGAGAAGGUGGUAUUUGUACCUAGUUUAUCAUCUGUCUGAUUAUUAUUAACACCCACUGGAAAUUUGCUGGCAUGUGCUUGUUUAGAUCUCUUAUAAACAUACUUCAGUAACAUAAACUUAGAGUUUUAUACUUUUUGAUGCUUGUACUAAUUGCUACAAUGAGUGGUGAGAUGAAUAAUAAUUACAAUAUUAUUCCUAUACCUUCUUUUUACUAUGGCGUUCUUGCUAGCAUGUACUACUGUACACAUUUCGACCUCUUUCACAAGUAAUGGUUAAGUUUAAAUUGUUCUUUAUAUAGACAGUGAGUACAGGAAAUCCAAAGAUUUUAUCAUUGGUGAGGAUUGCCUCAAGGUAACAGCCCACUGCCAGAAACAACUAUCCAUGUAGUCUUUGUGUCUGGUUGACAAAUGAAAAUAAAGAGAGCCUCAGCUCCACUCCAUCCUUCUUACUGUGCAGAAGUACAGAUGCAUAGGAGGUUACACAGGCAAGGGAUAAAUCACUGUUAAUUCAGAAGAACAGGACAGCUUCCACUUCAGAUUUUUUGAAAGGGUUCUAAUUAUACUCACUGUAUGAGCACCUAUUAAGAAUUGUGCUCCAUAAUGCCUGGACUGAGUUUUUUUUCUGAAAUAAGGUUAUUCCUAGGGUUUUGUUCUUCAGAACUCUAUAAUCCUACCUCUGAUUGUCUCAGUGAAAGGUUUGAAAUACUUUGUAAGCUCCUGGUUUGGAGAUAAGAGCACACUGUUGGUCUGACAUCAAAGUGAAUUAAUGAGCUGGCUGUGCAUUUCUAUCCACUGCUUUAGCCAGACACUCCUUUGCAAACCUCUAGAAGCUGUCACCCUGCUCUGCUAUGAUGAAAAUAAUUGGAUGUAGCUCCCACUUCUGUUACUGCCAUUACUGUUGCUGCUGGCAAAGGGGACUCAAAACCGAUGGCUCCAAAGGCAGGAAACAUUCAGAGAAGUUCAAUGGGGGAAAAAUAAACCAGAAGUUUUUGUGGAUUACAAGGUGACUUUAUGAGCUCUGGAAGCCAUGUGUUGACAGAAUAUGGAUAGCACAUUUUAGUUCUUAGCCAACUGAUAUGGAAUUUUCAGCAUCUUAUUUAAGGUAAUAGACCUCUAAUUCCAAAUCUUUUCUUCAUGGUGUUGGCUUUCAAAUGUUUUUAUCAUGGUUGAAAGAGUUUGAAUUGAUAUUUUCAGCUGGAGAUGUCUAUCAGAGCUUCCUCUGGGUAAGGAAGUUUUCCACAAGCAGAGCUGCUAGAGCCAUCUAUUCCUCAGAACGACAUUUUACACCACUCUUAUUUCAGAGCUAUCCUUGGUAAUAUACCCAAAGACAAACUAUUCCUAUUACUGUACUUUUCAUGCAGGCUCUAUUUGGCCUGCUCACUGUGUCACAGUCUUUAUAGGAAAAGAAGUAGUAGGUGACUUACUUAAAUGUUUUGUUUCUUCACACAAUAUUGUCUUUUCUCAUCUACACACAAAUGUACAUGUUUGAAUUGGCCAAUUAUUUUCCAUGGAUAAUGCAGAGUAUACUAAUCGCUGCCGUCAAGCAGGAUCCAAGUCUUUAUUUGAAGAUUAUUCCACUGACUGAAUAAAGAGGAAAAGCAUUACAGUCAAAAUGAACAC